UCCUACGGGAGGCAGCAGUGGGGAAUCUUAGACAAUGGGCGCAAGCCUGAUCUAGCCAUGCCGCGUGAGUGAUGAAGGUCUUAGGAUCGUAAAGCUCUUUCGCCAGGGAUGAUAAUGACAGUACCUGGUAAAGAAACCCCGGCUAACUCCGUGCCAGCAGCCGCGGUAAUACGGAGGGGGUUAGCGUUGUUCGGAAUUACUGGGCGUAAAGCGCGCGUAGGCGGAUUAGAAAGUAUGGGGUGAAAUCCCAGGGCUCAACCCUGGAACUGCCUCWUAAACUGCUAGUCUAGAGUUCGAGAGAGGUGAGUGGAAUUCCGAGUGUAGAGGUGAAAUUCGUAGAUAUUCGSAGGAACACCAGUGGCGAAGGCGGCUCACUGGCUCGAUACUGACGCUGAGGUGCGAAAGUGUGGGGAGCAAACAGGAUUAGAUACCCUGGUAGUCCACACCGUAAACGAUGAAUGCCAGUCGUCGGGCAGUAUACUGUUCGGUGACACACCUAACGGAUUAAGCAUUCCGCCUGGGGAGUACGGUCGCAAGAUUAAAACUCAAAGGAAUUGACGG
rnacentral:rRNA from 1 species